CAAGGUUUAUUUGAGCUAUGGUCAGCGCCAUUUUAAAUUGCCAUAGUAAUGACGUCACUGGUAGGAAUCAGCAAAUUGUCUGUGGUAUUGAGUUUUCGCAUGGAGGGUGAAUCGAAGAGAGUGAGGUUAGGUGUGGACAACAAGUAGUAAUUCAAACAUGAACUGUAUAGAGCCAGGCUGUAUGAAUUGGCUCCCAAAAAAAUCCCUCGGUAAACUACCAUCGGCUGCCCAAGGACCCACAACUUUUGAAGAAGUGGCUCCAUGUCCUGAAGAGGAAAGACGUGCCAGCUCGAGCAAGCAGGAUCUGCAGACAUCACCUCGCAGAGGGAGACUUCACGAUGAAGGGCACUUUCGAUGUGGCAACCGGGAGUUUCUGAAUGGAAAGGAGUCAUUGGCCUACAUUGAAACCCUCUGCUUGCGCCUCCAUUUGACAUUGAGGGUUAUGGUGUAGGGGUUACUGACCGACCAUCAUCAACAUCGCUGACUUUGGAGUCAAGCAAAAGUGACUGAAUGGAGGAGGCGAUGCGAGUCAAUGCAAUGGAGCCUGAGGAUGACAUCUCCAUCCCGGAAAAUGUUUUCAUCCUGGAGGAGACUGUGCAGGAGGCAGGAAAGAACAGUUAGUACAGCAUGCCAAACUGACCCCUAGGUGCCAGAUUGUUCCUGUGCUGCGGUGGAGAAGAGGUCCACUGGGACCAUCACUAAAGAGCUCAGCUAGAUUGCGCUGACGACCAUCAGUAUACAACCGAGUCCUGCCCCUAUACGCCACAGAUGGAGCUAACGGAGAGUGAGAUCAGUGAAGAUCAGAACUCGCUGUAUGAACCUGAGAGCUCAGAAUCACAAUCAUCACAGUGCGACUAAAGAUAUACUAUUAAUCACUUUGGGGGAGCGAGCUGGUGUUCUGAAAAUGGAGAAGGAGCAGGUCAUUCAACAGUGAAUUCAAAAGAUACACCCACCCAUUAAGGGAAUUGGAGUGAAAUUGUUUUUCCAGAUUUCUUUUUUUACUUGUUUCAAUGGAUGUGCUACUCUGUAUUGGUUCUGCUGUUCCGACUCUCUCUCAACCUAUUUAUGCUCAGCUAUGAAAAGCCAACUGACAUUUUCUCCUGAGGUGUUGAACUGUUGCACCCUCUAUAGCCACUAUGGUUAUUAUUUUGAUGUAAAAAGGGCUUUUGUAAAAUACAUUUGGUUGAUUGUUUGCUGUGCUGGAUGCUGUGUAUUCACUAACUUUCUGAAUGACGGAAAUGUUUAUAGUAUCUGUAACAUAUCUUGGUGUGUAUUUAAUCUGCAUCUUAACUUCUUAAAGUGGCAAUCAGCAGUAGAAACAAUAAAAGUGUCUCCCUGCUCCUCUUUCGGUAAAAAGCUGAGAAAUGGGACUAGAGAAAUGUAACCACUCAAAUUCAUAGACAGAGCUAUAGAUGCAAGGACUGACCAUCCAUGAUAUCAACAUUGUAAUCCUGUUUCUAUUAUCUGUUUCCACUACCAUGUACGCAGUUCGCUUUGGAUAAAGGUGUCUGCUAAAUGACAUACUAUUAAAAUCUACUUUGACUCUGCCAACUA